rnacentral:rRNA from 1 species
GAAUUCGCCCUUAGAGUUUGAUCCUGGCUCAGGAUGAACGCUGGCGGCGUGCUUAACACACGCAAGUCGAACGGGGGUUACUUCGUAGCGAUCUUCGGAUCAAAGCGAUAUAACUCGAGUGGCGGACGGGUGAGUAACACGUGAGUAACCUGCCUUUUGCUGGGGAAUAACUGUGGGAAACCAUGGCUAAUACCGCAUGUUGUGCAUGACAGGCAUCUGUUAUGUAUGAAAGGAGAAAUCCGGCAGAAGAUGGGCUCGCGUCCGAUUAGGUAGUUGGUGGGGUAACGGCCUACCAAGCCCGCGAUCGGUAGCCGGACUGAGAGGUCGAACGGCCACAUUGGGACUGAGACACGGCCCAGACUCCUACGGGAGGCAGCAGUGGGGAAUAUUGGGCAAUGGGCGAAAGCCUGACCCAGCGACGCCGCGUGAAGGACGAAGGCCUUCGGGUUGUAAACUUCUUUGGGGAGGGACGAAAAUGACGGUACCUCCAGAACAAGCCACGGCUAACUACGUGCCAGCAGCCGCGGUAAUACGUAGGUGGCAAGCGUUAUCCGGAUUUACUGGGUGUAAAGGGCGCGCAGGCGGCCCCAAAAGUCAGAUGUGAAAGAUCAAGGCUUAACUUUGACAUGUCAUCUGAAACUUUGGGACUUGAGUAUCAGAGGGGAAAGCGGAAUUCCUGGUGGAGCGGUAAAAUGCGCAGAGAUCAGGAGGAACACCGGUGGCGAAGGCGGCUUUCUGGCUGACAACUGACGCUGAGGCGCGAAAGCGUGGGGAGCAAACAAAAGUAGAUACCCUGGUAGUCCACGCCGUAAACGAUCCUUAAGGGGUAGGGGGUAUCGACUCCCUCUGUGCUGAAGCUAACGCGAUAAGUAAAUCCACCUGGGGAGUACGGCCGCAAGGCUAAAACUCAAAGGAAUUGACGGGGGCCCGCACAAGCAGUGGAGAAAGGGGUUUAAUUAGAGGCAACGCGAAGAACCUUACCAGGGUUUGACAUCCCGCGCUCGGGGUAGAGAUACCCUUUUCCCUUCGGGGGCGCGGAGACAGGUGGUGCAUAGAUGUCGUCAGCUCGUGUCGUGAGAUGUUCGGUUAAGUCCGGCAACGAGCGCAACCCUCGUUGUCAGUUGCCAUCAUUUGGUUGGGCACUCUGGCGAGACUGCCGUUGACAAA